rnacentral:rRNA from 1 species
CAGUAGCCGCGGUAAAACGUAGGUCCCGAGCGUUGUCCGGAUUUAUUGGGCGUAAAGGGAGCGCAGGCGGUUUAGUAAGUCUGAAGUUAAAGGCAUUGGCUCAACCAAUGUAUGCUUUGGAAACUGUUAGACUUGAGUGCAGAGGGGGAGAGUGGAGUUCCAUGUGUAGCGGUGAAAUGCGUAGAUAUAUGGAGGAACACCGGUGGCGAAAGCGGCUCUCUGGUCUGUCACUGACGCUGAGGCUCGAAAGCGUGGGUAGCGAACAGGAUUAGAUACCCCCGUAGUCCAUGUCUCUUAUACA